UACGUAGGGGGCAAGCGUUGUCCGGAUUUACUGGGCGUAAAGAGCGUGUAGGCGGCCACGCAGGUCCGUUGUGAAAACUGGAGGCUCAACCUCCAGCUGUCGACGGAAACCGUAUGGCUAGAGUCCGGAAGAGGAGAAUGGAAUUCCUGGUGUAGCGGUGAAAUGCGCAGAUAUCAGGAAGAACACCCGUGGCGAAGGCGGUUCUCUGGGACGGUACUGACGCUGAGACGCGAAAGCGUGGGGAGCGAACAGG
rnacentral:rRNA from 1 species